AAGUCGAGCGCGCCCUUCGGGGUGAGCGGCGGACGGGUUAGUAACGCGUGGGAAUAUGCCCAAAGGUACGGAAUAGCCUCUGGAAACGGAGAGUAAUACCGUAUGUGCCCUUCGGGGGAAAGAUUUAUCGCCUUUGGAUUACCCCGCGUCAGAUUAGGUAGUUGGUGGGGUAAUGGCCUACCAAGCCUACGAUCUAUAGCUGGUUUUAGAGGAUGAUCAGCAACACUGGGACUGAGACACGGCCCAGACUCCUACGGGAGGCAGCAGUGGGGAAUCUUGGACAAUGGGGGCAACCCUGAUCCAGCCAUGCCGCGUGA
rnacentral:rRNA from 1 species